GUUUGAUCAUGGCUCAGGACGAACGCUGGCGGCGUGCUUAACACAUGCAAGUCGAACGAAGAGCGAUGGAAGCUUGCUUCUAUCAAUCUUAGUGGCGAACGGGUGAGUAACGCGUAAUCAACCUGCCCUUCAGAGGGAGACAACAGUUGGAAACGACUGCUAAUACCGCAUACGAUCUAUUCUCGGCAUCGAGGAUAGAUGAAAGGUGGCCUCUACAUGUAAGCUAUCACUGAAGGAGGGGAUUGCGUCUGAUUAGCUAGUUGGAGGGGUAACGGCCCACCAAGGCGAUGAUCAGUAGCCGGUCUGAGAGGAUGAACGGCCACAUUGGGACUGAGACACGGCCCAGACUCCUACGGGAGGCAGCAGUGGGGAAUCUUCCGCAAUGGACGAAAGUCUGACGGAGCAACGCCGCGUGAGUGAUGACGGCCUUCGGGUUGUAAAGCUCUGUUAAUCGGGACGAAAGGCCUUCUUGCGAAUAGUGAGAAGGAUUGACGGUACCGGAAUAGAAAGCCACGGCUAACUACGUGCCAGCAGCCGCGGUAAUACGUAGGUGGCAAGCGUUGUCCGGAAUUAUUGGGCGUAAAGCGCGCGCAGGCGGAUAGGUCAGUCUGUCUUAAAAGUUCGGGGCUUAACCCCGUGAUGGGAUGGAAACUGCCGAUCUAGAGUAUCG
rnacentral:rRNA from 1 species